UGGAUCCAGACUUUGAUCCUGGCUCAGGACGAACGCUGGCGGCGUGCCUAACACAUGCAAGUCGAACGGAGCUCCGCCCUUCGGGACGGAACUUAGUGGCGAACGGGUGAGUAACGCGUGAAGAACCUGCCUUCCAGUGGGGGACAACAGUUGGAAACGACUGCUAAUACCGCAUGAUACUUUUGAGGGGCAUCCCUUGAAAGUCAAAGCUUUAAGUGCUGGAAGAUGGCUUCGCGUCUGAUUAGCUAGUUGGUGGGGUAACGGCCCACCAAGGCGACGAUCAGUAGCCGGUCUGAGAGGAUGAACGGCCACAUUGGGACUGAGAUACGGCCCAGACUCCUACGGGAGGCAGCAGUGGGGAAUAUUGGGCAAUGGGCGAAAGCCUGACCCAGCAACGCCGCGUGAAGGAAGAAGGCCUUCGGGUUGUAAACUUCUUUUACCAGGGACGAAGGACGUGACGGUACCUGGAGAAAAAGCAACGGCUAACUACGUGCCAGCAGCCGCGGUAAUACGUAGGUUGCAAGCGUUGUCCGGAUUUACUGGGUGUAAAGGGCGUGUAGGCGGAGGCGCAAGUUGGGAGUGAAAUCUAUGGGCUCAACCCAUAAACUGCUCUCAAAACUGUGUCCCUUGAGUAUCGGAGAGGCAAGCGGAAUUCCUAGUGUAGCGGUGAAAUGCGUAGAUAUUAGGAGGAACACCAGUGGCGAAGGCGGCUUGCUGGACGACAACUGACGCUGAGGCGCGAAAGCGUGGGGAGCAAACAGGAUUAGAUACCCUGGUAGUCCACGCUGUAAACGAUGAAUACUAGGUGUGGGAGGACUGACCCCUUCCGUGCCGCAGUUAACACAAUAAGUAUUCCACCUGGGGAGUACGACCGCAAGGUUGCAACUCAAAUGAAUCGACGGA
rnacentral:rRNA from 1 species